UAGGGAGGUACUUGGGCAUAGACCAGGAUAUGCCCGGGGGCUAGGGGAGAUGGUCAUACCGGAGUCGAGCAGACAACGGGACCGUGAACGAGAAAAAGAGUACCUUGCCUUGGUUGAACAACACAAGAAAGAUGCCGAGUCUUACAAGAAAGAUGCCUUGAACUAUAAGACGCAGCUUGAUGAAGUGAAGGAUGAAUUGACUGCACUUCGUGAGAGGCAAAAUGAAACUGAUAACAUGUUGAGGCAAUUCUUACAUAAUUUCCCGUCUUUCACUGAGUCUCUCCAGUCUCAUCGAGAGACUCAGUGAGCUACCAGUCUUAUGGCAUGGGAAGAGCUUUUUUGUGUAUUUUGGGCACUUUUUGAUGGUGGGAGAUGGUUGGUGGCCAAUAUAUAUAUAUAUAUAUAUAUAUAUUUGGUGAAGAUGAAGGUUGGGAAACCUUUUCCAACUAGUUUGAGUCAUUGGGCAGUUGAAAGGGUAACAUAACCUGAAGGAUUAUUGUCGAGGCGUCGAGAUGAAGAUACCAUGCUCCACACAAGGACGUUUAUGAGUGGUUCAAUAGGAUGUGUUUUGAUAAAGGGAGCCGAACUUCAAAAAUAAUGGCCAAACUGAGGGUGGUCAAGCAGAAGCAAAGGGAAGCAAUGUGCCCAGGGGCAGAAAGUAUUCAAGUCCAUUAUCGCAUCUUGAUAAGAACAACCACAAACAGAAACUUUCAUAUCUCAUCAUGCUUGCGUCUCCCAUUACUCACAAGAAGAUCACCAACUGGUGAUUUCAUUACAGAGGGACACAGAGUUGGUUGAAGGAGACAAGCAAAGGAAUGGCUACUAGUCAAAUUGGUGUUUGUCGAGAUGGAAAUGAGAAAUAUCCCACGAGUAUAAGGGAGGUAAUGCAAUCUUGUAAGGAGGUGUUUUGCUGACCUCUCAUGCCCAGGUGCAUAUUGUUAGAUCUGACUAGAUAUAAUUUAUAAAGAUGGAGGAGCAGUACAGCAAGCAUAUUGUGAAUGAUAUAUGUACUCUCUGCUAUUUAGUAGUUAAGAUGUAGUGUUUUGGCUUAUGAUUGGUCCACCACAGUGUAUAUAGCCCAUAACAAUAUUUAAUAUCAUUUCCCCACCUCAAUGGAUGAAUUGAAUGUCAUUAAUUUAUGUAAUUAGAUGGAAAUGGUUUGAGUACAUUUGUCAUGGAAUCCUACAUGUUCGGUCAGCCAUAUAUAGUGGA